AUGGCUGUCGUCAGCUCGUGUCGUGAGAUGUUGGGUUAAGUCCCGCAACGAGCGCAACCCUCGUUCUAUGUUGCCAGCACGUGAUGGUGGGGACUCAUAGGAGACUGCCGGGGUCAACUCGGAGGAAGGUGGGGAUGACGUCAAAUCAUCAUGCCCCUUAUGUCUUGGGCUUCACGCAUGCUACAAUGGCCAGUACAAAGGGCUGCGAUACCGUAAGGUGGAGCGAAUCCCAAAAAACUGGUCUCAGUUCGGAUUGGGGUCUGCAACUCGACCCCAUGAAGUCGGAGUCGCUAGUAAUCGCAGAUCAGCAACGCUGCGGUGAAUACGUUCCCGGGCCUUGUACACACCGCCCGUCAAGUCACGAAAGUCGGUAACACCCGAAGCCGGUGGCCCAACUCGUAAGAGGGGGAGCCGUCGAAGGUGGGACUGGCGAUUGGGACUAAGUCGUAACAAGGUAGCCGUACCGGAAGGUGCGGCUGGAUCACCUCCUUUCUAAGGAGCACUGGCACCCCUGUUGGGGUGUCCAGGUAGCCCGCCGCGACCGAACGCGUUGUGGGGGUUGCUCACGGGUGGAUCAUCGAUUACUUGGCGCCGCGUAGUGGUGGUGGUUUGCGAGUACUGGUUUCUUGUCCUUCGGGGUAGGGGCCGUGGAAAGCGCCGCGACUGGUGGGCGGCCUCUGGCACGUUGUUGGGUCCUGAGGGCUCGGGCGCAAGCUCGGUGUUUUCAGUGGGCCUCACCUGUUCUCGUACCACCUGUCCUUUCUUUUUGUGGGGUGGGGUUGGCGGGGGCAUGUUGGUGAUGGUGCCGCCCGUAUUUUGAGAACUACACAGUGGACGCGAGCAUCUUUGUGGCCAAGUUUUUAAGGGCGCACGGUGGAUGCCUCGGCACCGGGAACCGAAGAAGGACGUAGGAAUCUGCGAUAAGCCACGGGGAGUCGAUAACCAGACUGUGAUCCGUGGAUUUCCGAAUGGGGAAACCCGG
rnacentral:sRNA from 1 species